ACAAACGUGGCGCGUGCUUAAACAUGCAGUCGAGCGAGGCCCCUUCUUCGGGAGGGUGUCCUAGCGGCGAACGGGUGAGUAACACGUGGGCAACCUGCCCUCAGCUCUGGGAUAACUCCAAGAAAUUGGGGCUAAUACCGGAUAUGACCGCUGACCGCAUGGUCUGGUGGUGGAAAGAUUUAUCGGCUGGGGAUGGGCCCGCGGCCUAUCAGCUUGUUGGUGGGGUAGUGGCCUACCGAGGCGACGACGGGUAGCCGGCCUGAGAGGGUGACCGGCCACACUGGGACUGAGACACGGCCCAGACUCCUACGGGAGGCAGCAGUGGGGAAUAUUGCGCAAUGGGCGGAAGCCUGACGCAGCGAUGCCGCGUGGGGGAUGACGGCCUUCGGGUUGUAAACCUCUUUCAGCAGGGACGAAGCGCAAGUGACGGUACCUGCAGAAGAAGCACCGGCCAACUACGUGCCAGCAGCCGCGGUAAUACGUAGGGUGCAAGCGAUGUCCGGAAUUAUUGGGCGUAAAGAGCUCGUAGGCGGUUUGUUGCGUCGGCUGUGAAAUCCCGAGGCUCAACCUCGGGUCUGCAGUCGAUACGAGCAAACUAGAGUGUUGCAGGGGAGACUGGAAUUCCUGGUGUAGCGGUGAAAUGCGCAGAUAUCAGGAGGAACACCGGUGGCGAAGGCGGGUCUCUGGGCAACAACUGACGCUGAGGAGCGAAAGCGUGGGGAGUGAACAGGAUUAGAUACCCUGGUAGUCCACGCCGUAAACGUUGGGCGCUAGGUGUGGGGCUCAUUCCACGAGUUCCGUGCCGCAGCUAACGCACUAAGCGCCCCGCCUGGGGGGUACGGCCCGCAAGGCUAAAACUCAAAUGAAUUUGACGGAAGGGCGAAA
rnacentral:rRNA from 1 species